rnacentral:rRNA from 1 species
GUGCCAGCCGCCGCGGUAAUACGGAGGGUGCAAGCGUUGUCCAGAAUCACUGGGCGUAAAGGGUGCGCAGGCGGGGCAGCAAGUCGGAUGUGAAACCCUAUGGCUUAACCAUGGAGGUGCAUUCGAAACUGUUGCUCUUGAGUCCCGGAGAGGCUGUCGGAAUUCGUGGUGUAGCGGUGAAAUGCGUAGAUAUCACGAGGAACACCAGAGGCGAAAGCGGACAACUGGACGGGUACUGACGCUCAGGCACGAAAGCGUGGGGAGCAAACAGGAUUAGAAACCCGAGUAGUCC